AUACGGAGGAUGCGAGCGUUAUCCGGAUUUAUUGGGUUUAAAGGGUGCGUAGGCGGUUUUUUAAGUCAGCGGUGAAACGCAAGGGCUCAACCCUUGACCUGCCGUUGAAACUGGAGGACUUGAAUGCGGAUGCUGUGGGAGGAAUGUGUGGUGUAUCGGUGAAAUGCAUAGAUAUCACACAGAACACCGAUUGCGAAGGCAUCUCACAAAUCCGUGAUUGACGCUGAGGCACGAAAGUGUGGGGAUCAAACAGGAUUAGGUACCCUGGUAGUCCACACUGUAAACGAUGAUGACUCGCUGUCGGCGAUAUACAGUCGGUGGCCAAGCGAAAGCGAUAAGUCAUCCACCUGGGGAGUACGACCGCAAGGUUGAAACUUAAAGGAAUUGACGGGG
rnacentral:rRNA from 1 species